UACGGAGGGUGCAAGCGUUGUCCGGAUUUAUUGGGUUUAAAGGGUGCGUAGGCGGCCAUAUAAGUCAGUGGUGAAACCCUUGGGCUUAACCCAAGGAGUGCCAUUGAUACUGUAUGGCUUGGGUUAUCUCUGGGCGGGCGGAAUGGAUGGUGUAGCGGUGAAAUGCGUAGAUAUCUGGAGGAACACCGGUGGCGAAGGCGGCAUCCUGGACCGGCAUUGACGCUGAGGCGCGAAAGCCAGGGGAGCAAACGGG
rnacentral:rRNA from 1 species